ensembl:lncRNA
GGCAUCCAGGCUACAAUUUACCAUUACGUUUCGUACAUUUCAAUAUUCAAUCACCCCAAUAUAUGUACACGUGUCUUUAACAUGCAAUCAAAAUUGACAUGCAAUGGUUAUGAGUUAAUUUUUAAAGGUAAUUUCUUACAAUGCAAUAAAAAGUGAGUAUUAGAUUUAAAACGUUUAAAUGUAGCCUAUUACGAAGUACCUGCCUCAGAAAGUGAGCGAGUGUGUUUGAGAUAGAGGCUAAAAAUGCUUGGGUACCAUCCCCAGCCAGGAAACCCAAUACUGAUUAAUGCAUGUAAUAUGUGUCUACCUGCGAGCUGCAGGUGUGUGUGUUUGUGCCAUAUUCAUUUCAUUUGAUUAUUUUGGCUAGAUUUGUAUUGUUACUGUGUGUGUGUGUCUGUGUUGGGUGAGAGAAUCCCAAUGCUAAAUCAAUAGCCUCCAUAGGUGUGUGUGUGUGUGUGUGUGUAUCCCAAUGCUGAAUAGGCUCCCGGUGUAAAAGCCAGAGAUCUGGGUUCAGAGUCUCAGACCAUGUAUCACAAACGUAUACACAAAUCAAUAAACAUACACAAUUGAUUUGACUAAAUUCACAUAUACAACUGGAGAGACAUCGCACUGGCAUGAGGUAUCCAGUGACUCCUAAUGUACAUGGAUUUAUAUAGUAGCAACAAAUGGAGUCAAUACUUCCCUUUGACACUGGACACAGUUUACAGGGGAAGGGUGGACACAGAUGCGGAUACAUGAGGAAACUACAUUAGGCAUAACACAACACACAACAGACUCCUAAUCACUAACAGAAGAUACACACUGACCUACACACGAACAUUACACAUAUAAAUACACAUUCCACCCUACAGCUACUAAACGCUCGGAAUUAUGGGUGAACUCACCAUACUGGGAUCACAAACAUAAGCGCACACACCCCUGCACACUACAAUAUAUACACACACACACACACACACACACACACACACACACACACCCUGCACACUACAAUAUAUACACACACACACACACACAC